GCCUCUACCAGUAUGAUUCCAUUAAGAUCUGCCUUCCUUGCUAUGGUAGCAGGGUGUUAUUCUUUCAAGUUUUGAAGUGAAGCCACUGAUAGUAGUUUCAGUAAGAGAAUUUUGCCCUGCUACUAGGUGCAAAAGACAACUUUUAGCUGAGACAAGCUUUGCACAACUCCUGACUCAAUCUGGUGGGACUCUGCCUGUGAGACGAGAUGGAACACUUGCUGCUCAAGCACCAUGAAGCUACUGGGUUGAAUUUGUUUGACACAGACAG